rnacentral:rRNA from 1 species
GAUGAACGCUGGCGGCGUGCCUAAUACAUGCAAGUCGAACGAAACUUCUUUAUCACCGAGUGCUUGCACUCACCGAUAAAGAGUUGAGUGGCGAACGGGUGAGUAACACGUGGGCAACCUGCCCAAAAGAGGGGGAUAACACUUGGAAACAGGUGCUAAUACCGCAUAACCAUAGUUACCGCAUGGUAACUAUGUAAAAGGUGGCUAUACUACCGCAUUUGGAUGGGCCCGCGGCGCAUUAGCUAGUUGGUAGGGUAAAGGCUUACCAAGGCAAUGAUGCGUAGCCGAAUUGAGAGGUUGAUCGGCCACAUUGGGACUGAGACACGGCCCAAACUCCUACGGGAGGCAGCAGUAGGGAAUCUUCCACAAUGGGCGAAAGCCUGAUGGAGCAACGCCGCGUGGGUGAAGAAGGUCUUCGGAUCGUAAAACCCUGUUGUUAGAGAAGAAAGUGCGUGAGAGUAACUGUUCACGUUUCGACGGUAUCUAACCAGAAAGCCACUGCUAACUACGUG